UACAGAGGGUGCAAACGUUGCUCGGAAUUAUUGGGCGUAAAGCGCGUGUAGGCGGCUUGUUAAGUUGGUUGUGAAAACCCAUGGCUCAACCAUGGAAGGGCGUCCAAAACUGGCAAGCUAGAGUCCCGACGAGGAUGGCGGAAUUCCCAGUGUAGAGGUGAAAUUCGUAGAUAUUAGGAAGAACACCGGUGGCGAAGGCGGCCCACUGGAUCGGUACUGACGCUGAGGUGCGAAAGCGUGGGGAGCAAACAGG
rnacentral:rRNA from 1 species